GUUCAGGGACAGUGCCUGAUGGGUAGUUUAACUGGGGCGGUUGCCUCCUAAAGAGUAACGGAGGCGCUCAAAGGUUCCCUCAGCCUGGUUGGCAAUCAGGUGUUGAGUGUAAGUGCACAAGGGAGCUUGACUGCGAGACAGACAUGUCGGGCAGGAGCGAAAGCUGGAACUAGUGACCCGGCACCUCAUUGUGGAAUGGGUGUCGCUCAACGGAUAAAAGGUACCCCGGGGAUAACAGGCUGAUCUUGCCCAAGAGCUCAUAUCGACGGCAUGGUUUGGCACCUCGAUGUCGGCUCGUCGCAUCCUGGGGCUGGAGUUGGUCCCAAGGGUUAGGCUGUUCGCCUAUUAAAGCGGUACGCGAGCUGGGUUUAGAACGUCGUGAGACAGUUCGGUCCCUAUCCGCUGCGCGCGUUGGAUAUUUGAGAAGGCCUGUCCCUAGUACGAGAGGACCGGGAUGGACUAACCUCUGGUGUGCCAGUUGUUCUGCCAAGGGCAUGGCUGGUUGGCUACGUUGGGAAGGGAUAACCGCUGAAAGCAUCUAAGCGGGAAGCCUGCUUCGAGAUGAGAUAUCCGUACACUUUGUGUGGGAGGUCCCCUGUAGAUGACGGGGUUGAUAGGCCAGAUGUGGAAGCGUAGUAAUGCGUGGAGCUGACUGGUACUAAUUGGCCGACGACUUAUCAACAC
rnacentral:rRNA from 1 species